AUACGUAGGGUGCGAGCGUUAAUCGGAAUUACUGGGCGUAAAGCGUGCGCAGGCGGUUUUGUAAGACAGACGUGAAAUCCCCGGGCUUAACCUGGGAACUGCGUUUGUGACUGCAAGGCUAGAGUACGGCAGAGGGGGGUAGAAUUCCACGUGUAGCAGUGAAAUGCGUAGAUAUGUGGAGGAAUACCGAUGGCGAAGGCAGCCCCCUGGGUCGAUACUGACGCUCAUGCACGAAAGCGUGGGGAGCAAACAGGAUUAGAUACCCUGGUAGUCCACGCCCUAAACGAUGUCAACUAGGUGUUGGGGGAGGAGACUUCCUUAGUACCGCAGCUAACGCGUGAAGUUGACCGCCUGGGGAGUACGGCCGCAAGGUUGAA
rnacentral:rRNA from 1 species